CCAGACUCCUACGGGAGGCAGCAGUGAGGAAUAUUGGUCAAUGGCCGAGAGGCUGAACCAGCCAAGUCGCGUGAGGGAAGACGGCCCUACGGGUUGUAAACCUCUUUUGUCGGGGAGCAAAGCGAGUCACGUGUGACUCAUUGAGAGUACCCGAAGAAAAAGCAUCGGCUAACUCCGUGCCAGCAGCCGCGGUAAUACGGAGGAUGCGAGCGUUAUCCGGAUUUAUUGGGUUUAAAGGGUGCGCAGGCGGAAGCGGCAAGUCAGCGGUAAAAUUGCGGGGCUCAACCUCGCCGAGCCGUUGAAACUGCUCUUCUAGAGUGGGCGAGAAGUAUGCGGAAUGCGUGGUGUAGCGGUGAAAUGCAUAGAUAUCACGCAGAACUCCGAUUGCGAAGGCAGCAUACCGGCGCCCAACUGACGCUCAUGCACGAAAGCGUGGGUAUCGAACAGGAUUAGAUACCCCAGUAU
rnacentral:rRNA from 1 species